rnacentral:rRNA from 1 species
GACGAACCGUCCGAACGUUAUUCGGAAUUACUGGGCUUAAAGGGUGCGUAGGCGGCGCGGAAAGUAGGGUGUGAAAUCCCUCGGCUCAACCGAGGAACUGCGUCCUAAACUACCGUGCUCGAGGGAGAUAGAGGUGAGCGGAACUUAGGGUGGAGCGGUGAAAUGCGUUGAUAUCCUAAGGAACACCGGUGGGCGAAAGCGGCUACACUGGAUCUCUUCUGACGCUGAGGCACGAAAGCUAGGGUAGCGAACGGG